rnacentral:rRNA from 1 species
GACGAACGCUGGCGGCGUGCCUAAUACAUGCAAGUAGAACGCUGAAGGAGGAGCUUGCUCUUCUGGAUGAGUUGCGAACGGGUGAGUAACGCGUAGGUAACCUGCCUGGUAGCGGGGGAUAACUAUUGGAAACGAUAGCUAAUACCGCAUAACAGUAGAUGUUGCAUGACAUUUACUUAAAAGGUGCAAUUGCAUCACUACCAGAUGGACCUGCGUUGUAUUAGCUAGUUGGUGGGGUAACGGCUCACCAAGGCGACGAUACAUAGCCGACCUGAGAGGGUGAUCGGCCACACUGGGACUGAGACACGGCCCAGACUCCUACGGGAGGCAGCAGUAGGGAAUCUUCGGCAAUGGACGGAAGUCUGACCGAGCAGCGCCGCGUGAGUGAAGAAGGUUUUCGGAUCGUAAAGCUCUGUUGUAAGAGAAGAACGAGUGUGAGAGUGGAAAGUUCACACUGUGACGGUAUCUUACCAGAAAGGGACGGCUAACUACGUG